rnacentral:rRNA from 1 species
GAUCCUGGCUCAGGAUGAACGCUAGCUACAGGCUUAACACAUGCAAGUCGAGGGGCAUCAGGUACCAGCUUGCUGAUACGCUGGCGACCGGCGCACGGGUGAGUAACGCGUAUGCAAUCUGCCUGUAACAGGGGGAUAACCCGGAGAAAUCCGGCCUAAUACCCCAUAAGGAUGUCUGUCCGCAUGGGCGGUCAUCUAAAGGUUUUCCGGUUACAGAUGGGCAUGCGUUCCAUUAG